GCCAGCGUGGCACAGUGGUUUGAGUGCUGGACUAUUACUCUGGAGACCAGGGUUCGAAUUAUGGCUCAUCCAUGGAA